rnacentral:rRNA from 1 species
AAGUAAAAGUCGUAACAAGGUUUCCGUAGGUGAACCUGCGGAAGGAUCAUUAUUGAAUAAACUUGAACAGGCUGUUUUGCUGGCCUCCUUGUGUGGGGGGCAUGUGCACGCUUGUCAUCUUUAUCUCUCCAACCUGUGCACAUCUUGUAGACCUGGGAAGUCAAUGAUUUCUUUCGAGUUGGGACUGCUGUGCUGUUGAAGUCAGCUUUGCCUUUGCGAUAUCUUCAGGUCUAUGUCAUUUUCACAAACUUUAUGAAUCUGUUUAGAAUGUUGAAUCAGGUCCUUUUUGUGUACCUAUAAAGUUAUAUAUACAACUUUCAGCAACGGAUCUCUUGGCUCUCGCAUCGAUGAAGAACGCAGCGAAAUGCGAUAAGUAAUGUGAAUUGCAGAAUUCAGUGAAUCAUCGAAUCUUUGAACGCAUCUUGCGCUCCUUGGUAUUCCGAGGAGCAUGCCUGUUUGAGUGUCAUUAAAGUUCCUCAACCACAUUGAUUUACUUUUCGGUGUGGCUUGGAUGUGGAUUUUGCAGGCCUUGGAAACGAGGUCUGCUCUUCUGAAAUGUAUUAGCAAGUAUCUGAGCAAGGUACAGGUGUGAUAAUUUAUCUAUGCCUUAGUAAAUGCUGCAUGAAACUGCUUAUAAUGAAAUUAUUGAUGAAUUUGACCUCAAAUCAGGUAGGACUACCCGCUGAACUUAAG